rnacentral:rRNA from 1 species
CGGGUGGUAAUACCGGAUGCUCCGCUCCAUCGCAUGGUGGGGUGGGAAAUGCUUUUGCGGCAUGGGAUGGGGUCGCGUCCUAUCAGCUUGUUGGCGGGGUGAUGGCCCACCAAGGCGUUGACGGGUAGCCGGCCUGAGAGGGUGACCGGCCACAUUGGGACUGAGAUACGGCCCAGACUCCUACGGGAGGCAGCAGUGGGGAAUAUUGCACAAUGGGCGCAAGCCUGAUGCAGCGACGCCGCGUGCGGGAUGGAGGCCUUCGGGUUGUAAACCGCUUUUGUUCAAGGGCAAGGCACGGUUUCGGCCGUGUUGAGUGGAUUGUUCGAAUAAGCACCGGCUAACUACGUGCCAGCAGCCGCGGUAAUACGUAGGGUGCGAGCGUUAUCCGGAUUUAUUGGGCGUAAAGGGCUCGUAGGCGGUUCGUCGCGUCCGGUGUGAAAGUCCAUCGCCUAACGGUGGAUCUGCGCCGGGUACGGGCGGGCUGGAGUGCGGUAGGGGAGACUGGAAUUCCCGGUGUAACGGUGGAAUGUGUAGAUAUCGGAAAAGAACACCA